AAAUGGGCCCACUUUUCAUAUUGAGACCUUUCUUUCAUGGAAGAGCGAACGCAGAGCCUUCGCUCGUUGAGGAAUUGGGAAAUGAGAAUGGAGAAAUCGGAGAAUUUCAGCGUUCAUAAUUCAGAAAUAGAUAGGAAUUUUUGAAGAUGUAGGCCGGGAAUUCCUGUCAAGUUUGGCAUCUGAGUUAGCGACGUUUCUGUUCGGAAUUCAGUCAUUUGAGCUGUUCUCAAGCAUCUAUCAAAUUUUGAUGGCAUUUACAGGUCUUUCAUGAAGCGAAGCUUGUACUGUUUCUUGGGGUCCUUUCCAAUUUCAGCUCAAUCAAUUUUAGCAGGUUGAAGAUUCAAACCUCGACGCCCACGUGUUAUUGAAGAUUCUACACUUCUCUCUUUAGGACUAAUACAACUGGUUCUUAUUUUGAAUAUGGUUUUGAUUUGAUAAAGUGAUUUGGUGUCCAUAAUUAUCUUUUUGGUUUAGGGUGGCAGCCAACCUUGUAAAUUAAUGAUUGAAGAAAUGAGCUUAAUUAUCGGAGACACCUUGGGAACAUGUCUCUCUCACUCACUUUGUUUUAGAAUUUUGCUAAUUGGGCCUUACAAAUCACUCAAUUUCAUGAAGGGUUUGACUAAUCAAAACUUACCUAAUUUCAUGCUUAAUUCUUCUCGAGUA